UACAGAGGGGGCGAGCGUUGUUCGGAAUUACUGGGCGUAAAGGGCGCGUAGGCGGCCUUCUAAGUCGAACGUGAAAUCCCCGGGCUCAACCCGGGAACUGCGUCCGAUACUGGAAGGCUUGAAUUCGGGAGAGGGAUGCGGAAUUCCAGGUGUAGCGGUGAAAUGCGUAGAUAUCUGGAGGAACACCGGUGGCGAAGGCGGUUCUCUGGGCCUGACCUGACGCUGAGGAGCGAAAGCGUGGGGAGCGAACAGG
rnacentral:rRNA from 1 species